UUUUUUUUUUUUUUUUUUUUUUUUUUUUUUUUUUUUUUAACAGGUUGUUUCAACGACAUGUUUGAACAAGAAGAAAAUGAGUUGGACUAAACAAAUGGAAAAUUAAG
rnacentral:ribozyme from 1 species